CGAACGGGUGAGUAACGCGUGAGGAACCUGCCUCAAAGAGGGGGACAACAGUUGGAAACGACUGCUAAUACCGCAUAAGCCCACGGGUCGGCAUCGACCUGAGGGAAAAGGAGCAAUCCGCUUUGAGAUGGCCUCGCGUCCGAUUAGCUAGUUGGUGAGGUAAUGGCCCACCAAGGCGACGAUCGGUAGCCGGACUGAGAGGUUGAACGGCCACAUUGGGACUGAGGCACGGCCCAG
rnacentral:rRNA from 1 species